UACGGGGGCAAGGGCAGUGUUGGUCGAAUUACUGGGCGUAAAGCGCGUGUAGGCGGCUCUUCAAGUCGAGUGUGAAAGCUCCAGGCUUAACCUGGGAAUUGCGCUCGAUACUGUUGAGCUAGAGUGUGGAAGGGGCUACUGGAAUUCCGUGUGUAGCGGUGAAAUGCGUAGAUAUACGGGAGGAACACCUGCGGCGAAGGCGGGUAGCUGGGCCGAACACUGA
rnacentral:rRNA from 1 species